AUUGAACGCUGGCGGCAUGCCUUACACAUGCAAGUCGAACGGUAACAGGUCUUCGGAUGCUGACGAGUGGCGAACGGGUGAGUAAUACAUCGGAACGUGCCUAGUAGUGGGGGAUAACUACUCGAAAGAGUGGCUAAUACCGCAUGAGAUCUACGGAUGAAAGCGGGGAAUCGCAAGACCUUGUGCUACUAGAGCGGCCGAUGGCAGAUUAGGUAGUUGGUGGGAUAAAAGCUUACCAAGCCGACGAUCUGUAGCUGGUCUGAGAGGACGAGCAGCCACACUGGGACUGAGACGCGGCCCAGACUCCUACGGGAGGCAGCAGUGGGGAAUUUUGGACAAUGGGGGCAACCCUGAUCCAGCAAUGCCGCGUGCAGGAAGAAGGCCUUCGGGUUGUAAACUGCUUUUGUACGGAACGAAACGGUCUGGGUUAAUACCCUGGGCUAAUGACGGUACCGUAAGAAUAAGCACCGGCUAACUACGUGCCAGCCGCCGCGGUAA
rnacentral:rRNA from 1 species